GUGCUCGCUUCCGCAGCACAUAUACUAAAAUUGGAACGACACAUAUACUAAAAUUGGCCCCUGCGCAAGGAUGACACGCAAAUUCGUGAAGCGUUCCAUAUUUUU
rnacentral:snRNA from 1 species